UACAGAGGUCUCGAGCGUUGUUCGGAUUCAUUGGGCGUAAAGGGCGCGUAGGCGGCGGGGUAAGUCUGGUGUGAAAUCUCGGAGCUCAACUCCGAAAUUGCACUGGAUACUGCUCUGCUAGAGGGCUGGAGAGGAGAUCGGAAUUCCCGGUGUAGUGGUGAAAUGCGUAGAUAUCGGGAGGAACACCAGUGGCGAAGGCGGCUUCCUGGCCUGUUCUUGACGCUGAGGCGCGAAAGCUAGGGGAGCAAACGGGG
rnacentral:rRNA from 1 species